GACGAACGCUGGCGGCGUGCUUAACACAUGCAAGUCGAACGGAAAGGCCCUGCUUUUGUGGGGUGCUCGAGUGGCGAACGGGUGAGUAACACGUGAGUAACCUGCCCUUGACUUUGGGAUAACUUCAGGAAACUGGGGCUAAUACCGGAUAGGAGCUCCUGCUGCAUGGUGGGGGUUGGAAAGUUUCGGCGGUUGGGGAUGGACUCGCGGCUUAUCAGCUUGUUGGUGGGGUAGUGGCUUACCAAGGCUUUGACGGGUAGCCGGCCUGAGAGGGUGACCGGCAGAAUGGGGAAGGAGGGAGGCACAGGAGGCGAGGGGGAGGAAGAGGGGGGAAGUAUGGAGGAGGGGGGGGAGGCCGGAGGGGGAGGCGCGGGGGGGGGAAAAAGGGCUUUGGGGUGAAAAACAGCUUGCGCCGGAAAAGAGGGGGGAGGGAGGGUAAGGGAUAAAAAAGAAACGGAAAACUACGGG
rnacentral:rRNA from 1 species